AACCUACUAAAUAGAUGGUUGAUCUAUUGUGAACCAGACUUCUUAGAGGGACAAGCAGCAAUUAGCUGCAUGAGAAAGAGCAAUAACAGGUCUGUGAUGCCCUUAGAUGUCCGGGGCUGCACGCGCGCUACACUGAAGGAAUCAACAUGCCUCUACCUAGCUCGAAAGAGUCAGGUAACCCGUUGAAACUCCUUCGUGAUUGGGAUAGGGACUUGCAAUUAUGGUCCUUGAACGAGGAAUUCCCAGUAAGUGUGGGUCAUCAGCUCGCGCUGAUUACGUCCCUG
rnacentral:rRNA from 2 species